UAAUUGAACCCACCCCCGGGUGAAGAUCUAAAAAGCUAUGUUUUAAAAGCACAAUAUUUCUGUUUAUUUUAAUACAAGAAAUAUUUAUUGUUAAACAAGUUCUAAUUUUCAGUUCAGUCUGGACGUGGGACAUCUUUUUUUACCAUCUUUAUUGUUUUUUUAACAUGUUGUCUUUUGUUAUGUGUUAUUAGCUAUGGUUAUUAGUCAUGUUCGACUUCAUGCAGCGCUGCGAGAACAGACAUCAUACGUUGAUGACGUCAAUGUAUCGCGAGAGCGAGUCAAGAAAUUACACUCUCGCGGUACAUUGACGUUAUCAACCUGUCAGCGCAGCAAGAAGUCGAGCACACGUAUUUGCGGGCGCGCGCCUACGUCCUCGUGAGUUCAAAGUGGAUUUUAACCGUUUACCUCCGACGACAGUUUUCAUUUCUAUGGCAAAUUCUAAGGUCAUUUUCUUGUUGUGUUUUGAUGUUUUCCAUUGGCUGAAGACUAAGAUGAGCCUGAAGAGGAGAUUUGGGAAGUCUUUGCUUUGCCAGAUCACCUGUGGUCGGGAUGUCUGCUAACAAGAUGCCUUGUUGGUCUGGGCGAGUUUGAAGUCUCUCACAGACAGUCCAGAAGGUCUGGAGUCCAUCUUAGCUUUUAUUGAUGCUGUCAUCAGGUUUUAAGUACAGUAUGAGCCAGAAUGGAAGGGUGUUGGUGGCCAUAAGAAGACUGUGAGCUAAACCUACAACAAAAUUCAUAUUUGCAGUUUUCCUAGAAUAUUUUUUUCUAUUCAGAUGAAUAAAAUUACUUUAAAAUAUUA